UAAUACAGAGGGUGCAAGCGUUAAUCGGAGUUACUGGGCGUAAAGGGCGCGUAGGCGGUUUGAUAAGUAAGAUGUGAAAUCCCCGGGCUUAACCUGGGAACUGCAUCUUAGACUAUUGGACUGGAGUGCAGUAGAGGGUGGUGGAAUUUCCGGUGUAGCGGUGAAAUGCGUAGAGAUCGGAAGGAACAUCAGUGGCGAAGGCGACCACCUGGACUGAGACUGACGCUGAGGCGCGAGAGCGUGGGGAGCAAACAGGAUUAGAUACCCUGGUAGUCCACGCUGUAAACGAUGAGAACUAGAUGUUGGUCUGCGCGAGCGGAUUAGUAUCGAAGCUAACGCGAUAAGUUCUCCGCCUGGGGAGUACGGCCGCAAGGUUA
rnacentral:rRNA from 1 species